UGAGUACCGUGAGGGAAGGGUGGAAAGUACCCCGGGAGGGGAGUGAAAUAGUACCUGAAACCGUGUGCCUACAAUCCGUCAGAGCCCGGCUGCCACUUGUGGUGUUGGGGUGAUGGCGUGCCUUUUGAAGAAUGAGCCUGCGAGUUUGCGUUGUGUGGCGAGGUUAACCCGUGUGGGGUAGCCGUAGCGAAAGCGAGUCUGAAUAGGGCGCCAGAGUUUGAUGUAUUAGACCCGAAACCCGGCGAUCUAGGCAUGACCAGGAUGAAGGUUGGGUAACACCAACUGGAGGUCCGAACCCACACCUGUUGAAAAAGGUCGGGAUGAGUUGUGCCUAGGGGUGAAAGGCC
rnacentral:rRNA from 1 species